rnacentral:rRNA from 1 species
UGACCUCGGAUCAGACGUGAUUACCCGCUGAAUUUAAGCAUAUUAUUAAGCGGAGGAAAAGAAACUAACAAGGAUUCCCUAGUAACGCGAGUGAACGGGGAAGAGCCCAACACGAAUCCCUUGGCGCAAGUCAACGGGAAAUGUGGUGUUAAGGUAGCCCUUCGUGUCAGUCUAGGCGUCUCAAGUCCACCUGAUUGUGGCUUCAAGCCCAGAGAGGGUGUAAGGCCCGUAGAGACGCUCCGACUGAUUCCUGGGGUUUACCUACGAGUCGGCUUGUUUGGGAAUGCAGGCCAAAGCGGCGUGGUAAACUCCAUCCAAGGCUAAAUACUGGCACGAGUCCGAUAGCGGACAAGUACCGUGAGGGAAAGUUGAAAGAACUUUGAAGAGAGAGUUCAAUAGUACGUGAAACCGCUUAGAGGCAAACGGAUGGUGCUCAUACUGGCCUGAGGAAUUCAACUGUGACGGUGGCUGGACGAGCUGGCGUUCCGAUCUCUCUUUUGGGACGGGCGUCGGUUUGGCUAUCAGCUCCGACAUGGUGCACUUUCCUUGGUGCCUCCGCCACGACCGACGACACUGGCUACCCGCGGCUGGGGGUAAGGUGACAAACUGCUUCGGCAAUUUGUGUUAUAGACCCCGGCGUCGGACAUGGUUUGGCCAGGACGUCGAGCUUGCGGCGCCCGCUCCUUGUGGGCUCGCAUGUUGGCUAGCUUGGCUGCGCCGAUGCUUGCACUGGACAACCAGUACAGGUGACGGUUGUGGUCUUGUCUCUAGUUGGCCUCUGCGAGUUUGGCGCCUAUAGUCUGUGGUGUACUUGUGGGUAGACUAUCCGACCCGUCUUGAAACACGGACCAAGGAGUCUAACAUGUGCGCGAGUCAUGGGGAUUCUACGAAACCCAAAGGCGCAGUGAAAGUAAAGGCCUGCUUCUCGUAGGCUGAGGUGGGAUCUCGUGCAUCGCGAUUGGCGAGCGCACCACCGGCCCGUCCUAUCUGUCUGCUCUGUCAGUGGGGCGGCGCAAGAGCGUACACGUUGGACCCGAAAGAUGGUGAACUAUGCUUGCGCAGCUCGAAGUCAGUGGAAACACUGAUGGAGGAGCGCAGCGUUUCUGACGUGCAAAAUCGAUCGUCAAACGUGAGUAUAGGGGCGAAAAGACUAAUCGAACCAUCUAGUAGCUGGUUCCUCCGAAGUUUCCCUCAGGAUAGCUGGCACUCGGGAAACAGUUUUAUCCGGUAAAGCGAAUGAUUAGAGGCAUUGGGGUUCGAAACGACCUCGACCUAUUCUCAAACUUUAAAUGGGUAAGAUGCUCGUCUCGCUUAAUUGGAGGCGGGCUUCACUCUCUCUAACGUGAAUGUGAGUGCCCAGUGGGCCAUUUUUAGGUAAGCAGAACUGGCGCUGUGGGAUGAACCAAACGCGCGGUUAAGGCGCCCAAUGCGGACGCUCAUGAGACACCACAAAAGGUGUUGGUCGAUACUGACAGCAGGACGGUGGCCAUGGAAGUCGGAACCCGCUAAGGAGUGUGUAACAACUCACCUGCCGGAAUCAACCAGCCCUGAAAUGGAUGGCGCUGGAGCGUCGGGCCUUAUACCGUGCCGUUGGGCGAAGCAGACAAAUAAUCUGUGUGGAUGUCCCAACGAGUAGGAGGGUCGCCGUGGUGAGCGCAGAAGGUGCGGCCGUGAGGCCGGCUGGAGCCGCACGGGCGCAGAUCUUGGUGGUAGUAGCAAUUACUCAAGUGAGAACCUUGAGGACUGAAGUGGAGAAGGGUUCCAUGUGAACAGCAGUUGAACAUGGGUUCAGGCGGUCCUAAGCGAUCGGGUAACUCCGUACCUAGACGAGGGUGACAACUAUCACUGAUUAACUAAAUUGUGACGUGUUAUAGCCCUCCGGAGCGAAAGGGAAUCGUGUUAAUAUUUCACGACCCUUACCGUGGAGAUCGCCCCUUUCGGGGGGCAAGUGCGGUAACGCAAACGAACACAGAGACGUCGGCUGGCGCCCGGGAAGAGUUCUCUUUUUCUUUGUAAGGAGCGUACCCCCUGGAAUCGGCUUGUCCGGAGAUAGGGGCGUGGCUUCCGUAAAGCAGCGCGGGUCUUGCGCUGUCCGGUGCACUCUAGUCGGCCUUGAAAAUCUGUGGGAGACAGUGUGAUUUUCACGGUAGGCCGUACCCAUAUCCGCAGCAGGUCUCCAAGGUGAACAGCCUCUAGUCCUAGAACAAUGUAGGUAAGGGAAAGUCGGCAAAAUGGAUCCGUAACUUCGGGAAAAAGGAUUGGCUCUGAGGGCUGGUCGGAUGGGCUGGCGUAGAAGCUGUUCCGGUUUUGGUGAGGACUGGGCGAGGCUUUCGGGCUUUUACUCGGACCAUGCCGAGACCAGGCACAGUAGACGACGUCAGCUGUGCUUGUCGUGUUUUCGGCGCGGCAGCUUCGUCCGGCAAAAACAGCCAACUCAGAACUGGCACGCGACUAGGGGAAUCGACUGUCUAAUUAAAACAAAGCAUUGCGAUGGCCUGUUGCUCGGGUGUUGAACGCAAUGUGAUUCUGCCCAGUGCUCUGAAUUGUCAAAGUGAAGAAAAUUCAAUACAAGCGCAGGUAUGUAAACGGCUUGGGCGCGCAGUAAACUUAUGACUCUCGUUAACGCGUAGCCAAAUGCCUCGUCAUCUAAUUAGUUGACGGCGCUGAAUGGCUAUUAACGAGAUUCCACUGUCCCUUCUACUAUUCGUAGCGAAGAACCACAGCCAGGGCGGGCUUGCAGACAUCAGCGGCGGAAAGAAGACCCUGUUGAGCUUGACUCUAGUCGACUUUGUGAAGAGACAUGAGAGCGGUUGUAGUAUAGCGGUGGCAGAGGCGUCAGCGACUUCUUGAAAUUACCCACUUACUUUUAUCGUUUCUUUACUUAUUCCAGUGGUGAAGCGGGGAGCGGCCUGCUUCACGGGCCUCGUUUCUGGUGUUUAAACGGCUGGCCCUCGCGGCGUCCGAGCCGUGACCUGCUUGCCUUCUGCUGAGACAGUUGUCAAGGCGGGGAGUUUGACUGGGCGAUGGGUUAAUAUCUGUGGCAAAAGGUUAACGCAGGUGUCCCAAGAUGAGCUCAGUCAGGACACAGGAAACCUGGCGUAGAGCAAAAGGGCAAAAGUCAUGUUGAUUUUGAAAUUCUCUUCACGAGUACUGAAUACAGACGCGUGAAAGCGCCGGCCUAUUUCGAUCCCUUUGAUUAAUCAGAGUUUUGAUGCAAGGGGUUGUCAGAAAAAGUUGACCACAGGGAUUAACUGGGCUUGUGGCGCGACCUCAAGGUUCAUAGCGACGUCGCUUUUUGAUCCUUCGAUGUCGGCUCUUCCUAUCAAUGUCGAAGCAGAAUUCACAAGCGUGGAAUUGUUCACCCCCAAUAGGAACGUGAGCUGGGCUUUAGACCGUCGUUGAGGGGACAGGUUAGUUUUACCCUACUGUGUCUUGUCAGUUGCAUAUAUUGGUAAUCCUGCUUCUUACGCAGAGGUACGAGAGAACGCAGGUUCACGACAUGGUUGGUUUAUGGCUCGUCGAAAGACAAUUUGGUGCGAAGCUACCAUCUGAGGGAUUAAGACUGAAAGCCUCUUAGUCUGAAUCCUCCGCCCAGAAAUGCAAACGAUUAUCGCGUGCCCUACGCGCCCGGGAGGCGAUGGAAACGAUAUACUCGGCCCGAAUCCGAUUUCGGCGGCCUCGAGGACUUGGCUAAAGCCACUGCGAUACUGGCCACACCCGCUUGUCUUGAAUUUGGCAGUGGAGGCCACAGACACGGAUUACCACUUGAUGAGACGUAGGGGUUCUAUAUCGUUUGUAGACGACUUAGAUCUCGGUCGGGGUGCCGUACUUAGUUGAGCAGUUUUCACUGCGAUCUAUUGAGGCUAAGCCUUUUUGACGACGGGGAGAUAUGU